GAUGAACGCUGGCGGCGUGCCUAAUACAUGCAAGUCGAGCGAACGGACGAGAAGCUUGCUUCUCUGAUGUUAGCGGCGGACGGGUGAGUAACACGUGGAUAACCUACUUAUAAGACUGGGAUAACUUCGGGAAACCGGAGCUAAUACCGGAUAAUAUUUUGAACCGCAUGGUUCAAAAGUGAAAGACGGUCUUGCUGUCACUUAUAGAUGGAUCCGCGCUGCAUUAGCUAGUUGGUAAGGUAACGGCUUACCAAGGCAACGAUGCAUAGCCGACCUGAGAGGGUGAUCGGCCACACUGGAACUGAGACACGCUCCAGACUCCUACGGGAGGCAGCAGUAGGGAAUCUUCCGCAAUGGGCGAAAGCCUGACGGAGCAACGCCGCGUGAGUGAUGAAGGUCUUCGGAUCGUAAAACUCUGUUAUUAGUGAAGAACAUAUGUGUAAGUAACUGUGCACAUCUUGACGGUACCUAAUCAGAAAGCCACGGCUAACUACGUG
rnacentral:rRNA from 1 species